rnacentral:rRNA from 1 species
GGCUCAGGAUGAACGCUGGCGGUCUGCUUAACACAUGCAAGUCGAACGGAGUACUUCGGUACUUAGUGGCGGACGGGUGAGUAACGCGUGAGAAUCUGCCCUUAGGACGGGGACAACGACUGGAAACGGUCGCUAAUACCCGAUGUGACGCAAGGUGAAACCUAUUUGGCCUGAGGAUGAGCUCGCGUCUGAUUAGCUAGUUGGAGGGGUAAUGGCCCACCAAGGCGACGAUCAGUAGCUGGUCUGAGAGGAUGAUCAGCCACACUGGGACUGAGACACGGCCCAGACUCCUACGGGAGGCAGCAGUGGGGAAUUUUCCGCAAUGGGCGAAAGCCUGACGGAGCAAGACCGCGUGAGGGAAGAAGGUCUGUGGAUUGUAAACCUCUUUUGACAGGGAAGAAGUUCUGACGGUACCUGUCGAAUCGGCCUCGGCUAACUCCGUGCCAGCAGCCGCGGUAAUACGGAGGAGGCAAGCGUUAUCCGGAAUUAUUGGGCGUAAAGCGUCCGUAGGUGGUUUAGUAAGUCUGCUGUCAAAGCGCGGAGCUUAACUCCGUAAAGGCAGUGGAAACUACUAGGCUAGAGUGCGGUAGGGGCAGAGGGAAUUCCCAGUGUAGCGGUGAAAUGCGUAGAGAUUGGGAAGAACAUCGGUGGCGAAAGCGCUCUGCUGGGCCUGCACUGACACUGAGGGACGAAAGCUAGGGGAGCGAAAGGGAUUAGAUACCCCUGUAGUCCUAGCCGUAAACGAUGGAUACUAGGCGUUGCCCGUAUCGACCCGGGCAGUGCCGUAGCUAACGCGUUAAGUAUCCCGCCUGGGGAGUACGCUCGCAAGAGUGAAACU